GACGAACGCUGGCGGCGUGCUUAACACAUGCAAGUCGAACGGAAAGGCCCUGCUUUUGUGGGGUGCUCGAGUGGCGAACGGGUGAGUAACACGUGAGUAACCUGCCCUUGACUUUGGGAUAACUUCAGGAAACUGGGGCUAAUACCGGAUAGGAGCUCCUGCUGCAUGGUGGGGGUUGGAAAGUUUCGGCGGUUGGGGAUGGACUCGCGGCUUAUCAGCUUGUUGGUGGGGUAGUGGCUUACCAAGGCUUUGACGGGUAGCCGGCCUGAGAGGGUGACCGGACAAAUUGGGACUGAGAUACGGCCCAGACUCCUACGGGAGGCAGCAGUGGGGAAUAUUGCACAAUGGGCGGAGGCCUGAUGCAGCAACGCCGCGUGCGGGAUGACGGCCUUCGGGUUGUAAACCGCUUUCGCCUGUGACGAAGCGUGAGUGACGGUAAUGGGUAAAGAGGCACCGGCUAACUACGUG
rnacentral:rRNA from 1 species